rnacentral:rRNA from 1 species
AACGAACGUUGGCGGCGUGGAUUAGGCAUGCAAGUCGCGGGAAUCCCAGCAAUGGGGGAACCGGCGUAAGGGGCAGUAAUGCGUGGGUACCUACCCCGGGGUCCGGGAUAGCCGUCCGAGAGGGCGGGUAAUACCGGAUGACCUCGGGAGAGCAAAGCUCCGGCGCCCCGGGAGGGGCCCACGUGAUAUUAGCUAGUUGGUGAGGUGACGGCUCACCAAGGCGGAGAUGUCUAGCGGGUGUGAGAGCACGACCCGCGCCACUCGCACUGAGACACUGGCGAGACACCUACGGGUGGCUGCAGUCGAGGAUCUUCGGCAAUGUGCGCAAGCGCGACCGAGCGACGCCGCGUGGGUGAUGAAGGCCUUCGGGUUGUAAAGCCCUGUCGAGGGGGAGAAAAGCGGGAAACCGUGUGAUCUAUCCCUGGAGGAAGCUCGGGCUAAGUUCGUGCCAGCCGCCGCGGUAAGAC